UCCUGUGUUGCAGUGGAUACCUCCUGCAGAUAAGAAAUGGUUAACUGAGAAAUGCUCAUGUUGGGAUAUCAUCGAUGAGACUUUAAUUUGGGCAUGGUGACUGUUUCCCUUGCUUCCACUUGACUCAAUCCCAGGAGCCUCAGUAGAGGAAAUUAUAUUGCACAAGAAACUCAAAGUGAUGGAAUUGCUUAGUACUCCCAUAAAUAUACAUUUAUAAUUUUCAUUUGCCAUGUAGUAAAUUAAAAAAAUAAGAUCUAUUAAAUUUUUUCAAAAAUUCAAAGCAUAUCUAAACAUCUAAUAUAUAAAUUAAGUGCCCUUUUCUCUCCUAAUCCUAUCUCCGAGUUUUCCUCUAUUAAGGGAGUUGUGUGCCUUCUUUAAGUAGAUAGAUGCACACACACAGACACAAGCUAUUUUAGGGGGUUCUGGAAGUAGAGCUAUAUUGUACACAUUAUUCUGCAAAUUUGCUUUCAUUUAACAGUUUUUUCAAUGCCCUUUUUUCUGUUUCAGUAAUACAUACCUGUGUCAUCUGUUGAAUGACUGCAUGAUUGUUUUGUACAUGAAAUAUAAUUAAAUGUUUUAAACAUUUCUUAUUCAUAGAUAUUUAUGUUAGUACCAAAUUCUGUGCAAUGAACCUCCCUAUAUAUCAAUAAUUUGCAUUUGUCUAUUAUAUCAUAAUAAAUUACUUAGCAGUUAAAA
rnacentral:lncRNA from 1 species